CUGGGGAAUGUCCUCAUCUGCCAUUCGGUAAACUGGAGACUCAGGAAAGUCAGCGGUAUGAGUUGAUCUGAUGGAAGCUUGAGAAGAUGCAUCUGAGGUGGAGACGAUGUGUGCCGUGGCACCUGUAGACAAGAAGACAACUUGCAAGAGUUGGUACUGUCCUACUAUGUGGCUGCCUGGGAACUGAACUGAGGUCAUCAGCUUUGGUGGUGGGCUCUUUUACCCAUUGCAUCAUCUCCCUGUCCCUCCACUACCUACUGCCUUUCUAGGUUUUAUCUUCAAAUGAAUCCUCAUCAAGACCAUCAUAAGGCCUUUUCUGAAACUCAGGAUGUAUUAUCACAGUCCACAGGCUAAAAUGUUUCAAUGGCUUUCUUCCAUCCUGUAUAAAAAUAAAAGGGUUCAGAAUAGCCUAUAAAGAGGCCACAAAAUGACCACCACCAAUUUAGCUACCUAUCACUUUACUACACUAACUUGCUCUACUCCAGCUACAGAGUUCUACUUCUGUUUUUCAGACAGCUUUCCCCUGGUUAUCUCAGUGCUGUUGCUCCCUUCUCUCCCUCAAUAGUCUCUACGUACGUCAUUUUAUGAAGUUAUUUAUUCAAAUGUGACACUUACCGUUACCCAAUUGUUAUGCUUAAUAUUGUAACCUCUGUUCCUUGGCUCCGCAUUGCCUAGAUCUGAAUUCUUUAUGUACAUUUGUUAUUGGUACUAUUUGACUUAUAAUUCCCACAGGUCAGGAACUUGAAUGUUUUGUUUACUAUGCCAACAGCAGUACCUUGUACCAACUGUUGCUUAGUGAAUAUUUGAUAAACACAUGUAUGAGUAAAUGCAUAAAAAGCUAAGGUGACAAUUUUAGUACACAUUUAAGGGAAGAAACCUUGCAUUCGAAUACUUGCAUUGAUACACUGGAAAGAGAUCAUGUGAGUUGGGAAACACAUCCCAGCUCCUUUCUGGGGAAACGGGUCUGUUGAAAGGUUUAGAGCAGACUCUGGGAGAGAACACUUGGGGUGUCCUCAUCUGGAAAGAGACAUGAAUUACUCAUAGCCGCUUCCUUGUAUGAACCAAACUGUGCUUGAAUAUGGCACCAUAGGAAAUGAUCAGUAACUGUGAUAUACAGAUAGGCUGCAGUGAUUCAUUCUUAAACAUGCCCGUCUUGGAGGAAAUGGCAAUAUCAACAGUGGUUCUCUUAAAGGUGCAUAUAAUAUUGCCUUGUUGCACCCUGUACAUUUU
rnacentral:lncRNA from 1 species